UCCGGUUUGUCACCGGCAGUCUCCCAUGAGUCCCCAACUAAAUGCUGGCAACAUAGGACAAGGGUUGCGCUCGUUGCGGGACUUAACCCAACAUCUCACGACACGAGCUGACGGCAGCCAUGCACCACCUGUGUACGGCCCCGAAGGACACCGUAUCUCUACGGCUUUUCCGUACAUGUCAAGCCUUGGUAAGGUUCUUCGCGUUGCAUCGAAUUAAGCAACAUGCUCCGCCGCUUGUGCGGGCCCCCGUCAAUUCCUUUGAGUUUCAGCCUUGCGGCCGUAUUCCCCAGGCGGGAGACUUAACGCGUUAGCUCCGAUACCGAAGGGCUCGAUCCCCCCGGCAUCUAGUCUCCAUCGUUUACGGCGUGGACUAC
rnacentral:misc_RNA from 1 species